GCAUCGAUGGUUCAGUGGUAGAAUGCUCGCCUGCAUCAUGGAUGGCCUGGGUUCGAUUCCCGGCCGAUGCA
rnacentral:tRNA from 1 species